UUUCCCUCAGGAUAGCUGGCACUCGCUCGAUAGACGAGUCUCAUCUGGUAAAGCGAAUGAUUAGAGGCCUUGGGGCCGAAACGACCUCAACCUAUUCUCAAACUUUAAAUGGGUGAGAUCUCUGGCUUGCUUGAACGUUGAAGCCAUGAGAGAUCGCGUUUCGUGUGCAAAACGCACGGAGCGCCUCACGGAUCAGAGUGCCAAGUGGGCCAAUUUUGGUAAGCAGAACUGGCGCUGUGGGA
rnacentral:rRNA from 1 species